rnacentral:lncRNA from 1 species
GCUCAGGACAAUUUGUUGAUAGUUGAUUAAGAUGAGAAUUAAUCUCGGAGUUGCAUCUUAGAAAGUAAGGGUUCGUAGUCCUACAUCUUCUUAGUCAGUUGAAGGCCCACGUGUCACUGUAAAAGUAAUUUUAUUCUUCAGUUAUUUGAUUUAAAGUAUGUAUGAAUAUAUUUAGCUUUUACACCAUGUUUUUGGCGAGUUUCGGUAUUUUUGAAGAAAAAU